rnacentral:rRNA from 1 species
AGAGUUUGAUCCUGGCUCAGGAUGAACGCUAGCGGCAGGCUUAACACAUGCAAGUCGAGGGGUAACGAUGGCUUCGGCCAGGCGACGACCGGCGCACGGGUGCGUAACGCGUAUGCAACCUACCUUUAACUGGAGGAUAGCCCAAAGAAAUUUGGAUUAAUACUCCAUAAUAUCAUUUUAACUCAUGUUAUUUUGAUUAAAGCUCCGGCGGUUAAAGAUGGGCAUGCGUGACAUUAGAUUGUUGGUGAGGUAACGGCUCACCAAGUCUACGAUGUCUAGGGGGUCUGAGAGGAUGAUCCCCCACACUGGUACUGAGACACGGACCAGACUCCUACGGGAGGCAGCAGUGAGGAAUAUUGGUCAAUGGGCGCAAGCCUGAACCAGCCACGCCGCGUGCAGGAUGAAUGCCCUACGGGUUGUAAACUGCUUUUCUAUAGGAAGAAACUUUCGAACGUGUUCGGAACUGACGAUACUAUAGGAAUAAGCAUCGGCUAACUCCGUGCCAGCAGCCGCGGUAAUACGGAGGAUGCAAGCGUUAUCCGGAUUUAUUGGGUUUAAAGGGUGCGUAGGCGGAAUAAUAAGUCAGUGGUGAAAUCCUGCAGCUUAACUGUAGAACUGCCGUUGAUACUGUUAUUCUUGAGUAUAGUUGAGGUGGGCGGAAUGUGUAAUGUAGCGAUGAAAUGCUUAGAUAUUACACAGAACGCCAAUUGCGAAGGCAGCUCACUAAGCUAUUACUGACGCUGAGGCACGAAAGCGUGGGGAGCGAACAGGAUUAGAUACCCUGGUAGUCCACGCCGUAAACGAUGAUCACUCGUUGUUGGCGAUACACUGUCAGCGACUGAGCAAAAGCAUUAAGUGAUCCACCUGGGGAGUACGGUCGCAAGAUUGAAACUCAAAGGAAUUGACGGGGGCCCGCACAAGCGGAGGAACAUGUGGUUUAAUUCGAUGAUACGCGAGGAACCUUACCUGGGCUUAAAUGCAGGACGACAGAUCGGGAAACUGAUCCUUCUUCGGACGGCUUGCAAGGUGCUGCAUGGUUGUCGUCAGCUCGUGCCGUGAGGUGUCGGGUUAAGUCCCAUAACGAGCGCAACCCCUAUUGUUAGUUACCAGCGGAUAAUGCCGGGGACUCUAACGAAACUGCCGGUGUAAACCGAGAGGAAGGUGGGGAUGACGUCAAAUCAGCACGGCCCUUAUGUCCAGGGCUACACACGUGUUACAAUGGCUAGUACAAAGGGCAGCUACCUGGUGACAGGAUGCUAAUCUCGAAAACUGGUCUUAGUUCGGAUCGAAGUCUGCAACUCGACUUCGUGAAGGUGGAUUCGCUAGUAAUCGCGCAUCAGCCAUGGCGCGGUGAAUACGUUCCCGGGCCUUGUACACACCGCCCGUCAAGCCAUGGAAGCUGGGGGUACCUAAAGUCCGUAACCGUAAGGAGCGGCCUAGGGCAAAACUAGUGACUGGGGCUAAGUCGAAACAAGGUA